GACGAACGCUGGCGGCGUGCCUAAUACAUGCAAGUCGAACGCUGAAGGAGGAGCUUGCUUCUCCGGAUGAGUUGCGAACGGGUGAGUAACGCGUAGGUAACCUGCCUGGUAGCGGGGGAUAACUAUUGGAAACGAUAGCUAAUACCGCAUAAGAGUAGAUGUUGCAUGACAUUUGCUUAAAAGGUGCAAUUGCAUCACUACCAGAUGGACCUGCGUUGUAUUAGCUAGUUGGUGGGGUAACGGCUUACCAAGGCGACGAUACAUAGCCGACCUGAGAGGGUGAUCGGCCACACUGGGCCUGAGACACGGCCCAGACUCCUACGGGAGGCAGCAGUAGGGAAUCUUCGGCAAUGGACGGAAGUCUGACCGAGCAACGCCGCGUGAGUGAAGAAGGGUUUCGGAUCGUAAAGCUCUGUUGUAAGAGAAGAACGAGUGUGAGAGUGGAAAGUUCACACUGUGACGGUAUCUUACCAGAAAGGGACGGCUAACUACGUG
rnacentral:rRNA from 1 species